CAGCCGCCGCGGUAACACGUAGGGUGCGAGCGUUAAUCGGAAUUACUGGGCGUAAAGCGUGCGCAGGCGGUUAUAUAAGACAGAUGUGAAAUCCCCGGGCUCAACCUGGGACCUGCAUUUGUGACUGUAUAGCUAGAGUACGGUAGAGGGGGAUGGAAUUCCGCGUGUAGCAGUGAAAUGCGUAGAUAUGCGGAGGAACACCGAUGGCGAAGGCAAUCCCCUGGACCUGUACUGACGCUCAUGCACGAAAGCGUGGGGAGCAAACAGGAUUAGAUACCCCCGUAGUCCCUGUCUCUUAUAA
rnacentral:rRNA from 1 species